ACAGGAAGCCAGGAGCCCGGACCUCACCCUGAACCUUGGGCGCACAACGGAUCCCAAAAUAAAGAAAGAUGGUCAAGCUUCACUGAAAAAUUAUUGAGGCUUUAUUCAAUACCUCUCCAAAGGAGGAGGAGUGA